rnacentral:lncRNA from 1 species
AGAGAUUGGAGAGAGACAGGAGAGAGACAUGUUUUCAUCUAUCCUUUGUGGACUUCUGUUGUUUUUACUGCUGUGAAAUUUGACUUGCGAUAUCUGCUUAAAGCAAUGAAGAGAAAAGCUGAAGUCAGUGAUUAGGAGUGUCUGUGUAAGUAAAAGCAACAGGCAAUUACUGAGUGUGGUGUGAGAGGCACGGAAAGAUUGGGAAUUCAGCAAGAAGAGGAAUUGAAGUCAAACCUCACCUACUUCCCAGAGUCUUCUGGAUUUUCUGUUAGAAGCUUCAGUAUCUGAGAUAUUCCUAUGCAUUCUACUGCUUUAAUCCCACCUAAGUAGAGAUGUCCACAACAGAGAGAAUGGAGCUGUCACAUCGUUUCAACUGCCCAGGUAGUUCCUACUGGAUGAAUGGGAUUGUCACCUUCACACCUGCUAGAGGCUUGGAGCAUGCAAGAGUUUUUUUAAAUGGCUUCACCUUUCUUAUGAAAAUGCAACCACUAGUACUCUUCCAAUAAAAGCUUUUCUCAAGUGAAAGGACUCAGGCAACAAAUAAACAGCUAAGAUUUUACUAGAGUAUGAAAGGGAGAGCACUGGAGUGCAGUGCGGGGAUGGAGAUGCAGCUGUGGUGGCUGGAAGUACAGGAGGGCAGCUGGAGGCACCUGGCCUCUGAAGCCUGUCUUCUUCAUCUGGGUGAGAUCUGCUGGAGUCAGGAAGGACUUCCUGCUGCAAGGAUAAAGGUAAGCAGAAGAUCUCCACCAGUGCCCACUGCCAUCACAAACACCUACAAUCCUUAUAGCAGGUGAAUCCAGCAGUCCUCACAAGUCCUGAGACAGGUUUGGAGUCUUGCUGGGAAUUCACACAGCUGCAUUGUCCUAGAUUAGGAGAACAAGGUGUGGACCCCCAACCCUCUAUUCAUCCCCUGUGAGCCAUGGUGCUAUAGCAUGGCACCAUACUGAGACCAGAGCUACUUCUGCAGUGUGCCCUGCUCUGAGGGCCAGUAGCCACUUCACCUCUCCAGCACUUGGGCUCCAUCUUCAUUCCACCAAGCCCAUAUGGGAAGCUGAACACCUCAAUCCCAGAUUCGUAAAGCAUGGGCCAAGGAUGGGCUGUGGCUCUGGUCCUGUUCUGUUCAGGGUGAACCUGCCCUUGAGCUGGCCAAACUGCUGCAUACCCUCCCCAAAGCAGGAGAGGCCCCCAAGCCUGUGAGCAGCUGAUAUGCUCCAGGGCCAGUGAAGUGGCUAUGUGCUUGCACCCAGGAACUGAGAAACAGUCCCACAGCACACCUGCACCCUCCAGAGAGAGCCCUGGCCUGCCCCAGUGGCCCUGUAUCCCCAUUCAGGGCCUGAGAAACAAUUCCUCAGGCCACUCUUGGCAGGUAUGAUACUAAGCUGACCAAAUAGCCAAAAACACCUAUCCCAGACCUGAGUAUCAGCCCUGUGGGCCAAUCCAGGUGGACAUGCCCCAGGCUGGCCAAGCAGCCAUGUACCCACAUUCCGGGCCUGAGAAACAGUUUUUUGGGCUGCUGUUGGUGAGGACACCCCUGAGCCAACCAAGCAUCCUUGCAAUUGUGUUUCAGACCUAAGAAGCAUCAUGACCUGAGAAACAGUUUCACAGGCCACUCUUGGCAGGUGAAGUGUGGUGGCGUAAUCAUGACUCACUGCAGCCUCGAACUCCGGGACUCAAGCUAAUCUCUUUCCUCAGCCUUCCCAGCAGCUGGGACUACAGAAUCCCACCCAUCCUAAGGCAUUACAUUUAGUCAUCAUAGCUCUUUCUUCACAGAAUUAGAAAAAACUACUUUAAAUUUCAUAUGGAACCAAAAAAGAGCCCAUAUAGCCAAGAAAAUCUUAAGCAAAAAGAACAAAGAUGGAGGCAUCAUGCUAACUGACUUCAAACUAUACUACAAGGCUACAGUAACCAAAACAGCAUGGUACUGGUGCCAAAACAGAUAUAUAGACCAAUGGAAUAGAACAGAGGCCUCAGAAAAACGUCACCCAUCUACAACCAUCUGAUCUUCAACAAAUCUGACAAAAACAAAUAAUGGGGAAGAAAUUCUGUAUUUAAUAAAUGAUCUUGGGAAAACUGGCUAGCCACAUGCAGAAAACUGAAGCUGGGCUCCUUCCUUACACCUUAUACAAAAAUUAACUCAAGAUGGAUUAAAGACUUAAACGUAAGACCUAAAACCAUAGAAACCCUAGAAGAAUACCUAGGCAAUACCAUUGAGGACACAGACAUGGGCAAAUGACUAAAGCAACAAAAGCCAAAAUUGACAAAUGGGAGCUAAUUAAACUAAAGAGCUUCUGAACAGCAAAAGAAACUAUCAUCAGAGUGAACAGGCAACCUACAGAAUGGGAGAAAAUUUUUGCAAUCUAUCCACCUGACAAAGGGCUAAUAUCCAGAAUCUACAAAUAACUUAAACAAAUUUACAAGAAAAAAAACAAACAACCCCAUCAAGAAGUGGGUGAAGGAUAUGAAAAGACACUUCUCAAAAGAAGACAUUUAUGUGGCCAACAAACAUGAAAAAAAGCUCAUCAUCACUGGGCAUUAGAGAAAUGCAAAUCAAAACCACAAUGAGAUACCAUCUCACGCCAGUUAGAAUGGCGAUCUUUAAAAAGUCAGGAAACAACAGAUGCUGGAGAGGAUGUGGAGAGAUAGGAAUGCUUUUACACUGUUGGUAGGAGUGUAAAUUAGUUCAGCAAUUGUGGAAGACUGUGUGGAGAUUCCUCAAGGAUCUAGAACCAGAAAUGCCAUUUGACCGAGCAAUCCCAUUACUGGCUAUAUACCCAAAGGAUUAUAAAUCAUUCUACUAUAGAGACACAUCCACCUGUAUGUUGAUUGCAGCACUGUUCACAAUAGCAAAGACUUGGAACCAAUGCAAAUGCCCAUCAAUGAUCGGCUGGAUAAAGAAAAUGUGGCACAUAUACACCGUGAAAUACUAUGUAGCCAUAAAAAAGGAUGAGUUCAUGUCCUUUGCAGGGAUAUGGAUGAAGCUGGAAACCAUCAUUCUCUGCAAACUAAUACAGGAACAGAAUGCCAAACACCACAUGUUCUCACUCAUAAGUGGGAGUUGAACAAUGAGAACACAUGAAUACCGGGAGGGAACAUCACACACCAGGGCCUGUCAGAGGGUCGGGGGCUAGGGAAGGGAUAGCAUUAGGAGAAAUACCUAAUGUAGAUUAUGGGUUGAUGGGUGCAGCAAACCACCAUGGCACAUGUAUAGCUAUGUAACAAACCUGCACGUUCUACACAUGUAUCCCAGAACUUAAAGCAUAAGUAAAAUAAAAAAAUAAUUAAAUGAGGAAGAAGAGUCAAAUUUUUGUGCAGAAAAAUUUGAAAGAAUUUAUGUAGAUACUACUUCCUCAAUGAGGAAGAGCAUAACUCUAUGCUCUUUAAGUCGGACAUGAACAUACUCAUUUCUUUCAAAAGAGUACAAUAUGAAAAGAGGGAAAAAGAAUAACUGUACAGUAAAGAAACCUGACAAUUGCUACCUUGGCCAAGUGACCCAGGUCAACAUCAACAGUGAUAGUGACGUUUAUGUCAUGUCCACUUGAAAUGAUGUGAUUAAAAAAAGGCACUUUACCUCUGUGUUCUUCUUCCUAUUCCCAUAAUUCCAG